rnacentral:tRNA from 1 species
UGUCCGUAUAGCUUAGUGGUAAAGCAAUGUACUGUUAAUACAUCGACUUUGGUUCAAUUCCAAAUAUAGACGU